rnacentral:rRNA from 1 species
CUACGGGAGGCACCAGUGGGGAAUUUUGCGCAAUGGGGGAAACCCUGACGCAGCAACGCCGCGUGAGCGAAGAAGGCCUUCGGGUCGUAAAGCUCUGUCAAGUGGGAAAAAAAUUCUUUGAUGAACAGUCAGAGGACUCGAUGGUACCACUGGAGGAAGCACCGGCUAACUCCGUGCCAGCAGCCGCGGUAAUACGGAGGGUGCAAGCGUUGUUCGGAAUUACUGGGCGUAAAGAGCGUGUAGGCGGUUUGACAAGUCAGAUGUGAAAGCCCCGGGCUCAACCCGGGAAGUGCAUUUGAAACUGUUUCACUAGAGUAUGGGAGAGGAGAUUGGAAUUCCUGGUGUAGAGGUGAAAUUCGUAGAUAUCAGGAGGAACACCCGUGGCGAAGGCGAUUCUCUGGACCAAUACUGACGCUGAGACGCGAAAGCGUGGGGAGCAAACAGGAUUAGAUACCCCAGUAGUC